rfam:Ciona savignyi cont_30663, whole genome shotgun sequence.
CUACUACCGAUUGAAUGGUUUAGUGAGGUCUCCCGAUUGGACCCGGUCCGGGCGGCGACGUCCCGAGCCGGCGUCCGAGAAGACGAUCUAACUUGAUCAUUUAGAGGAAGUAAAAGUCGUAACAAGGUUUCCGUAGGUGAACCUGCGGAAGGAUCAUUA